GUGCCAGCCGCCGCGGUAAUACAGAGGGCGCGAGCGUUGUCCGGAAUCACUGGGCGUAAAGGGCGCGUAGGUGGCCACUAUAAGGCCGCGGUGAAAGUUCGGGGCUCAACCCCGAAUCUGCCGCGGCGACUGUAGGGCUUGGGCACUGUAGAGGCAGAUGGAAUUCCGGGUGUAGCGGUGGAAUGCGUAGAGAUCCGGAAGAACACCAGUGGCGAAGGCGGUCUGCUGGGCAGUGGGAGCGCAAGCUCCUCUUAGCCGACACUGAGGCGCGACAGCGUGGGGAGCAAACAGGAUUAGAAACCCUCGUAGUCC
rnacentral:rRNA from 1 species